AGUAGAGUCAGCUAAUUAAGCUUUUGGGCCCAUACCCCAAAAAUGUAGGUUAAACUCCUGCCUCUGCAA
rnacentral:tRNA from 1 species